rnacentral:lncRNA from 1 species
GGCGACUGCAGUCGGCCCUUCCCGGAGUCCCGCUUCGGGGCCGUCCCUGGGCGCUGCGCGUUGGUCCGCCCGAGUCUUGGGGUGGCUUGGGAGAAUGGGUUUGGGGCUCAGGCCUCGAGGUUGCCAAGAGCCUCGCGCUUCCUCAUUUUCCCGCCAGGUCAACGUAACCCGGCAUUUCUCCGAGGAGAGGCCUAAAAAUGAGUGGGGCUGCCGCCCGACUCCUGUGAGAGCCUCGGGGCUUCCAUUCCCGACACCAGGAGGAAAGACCGGCAUUUCUUCCUCGGGCGAAGAACCCAGUUGUCCAGGCUGGGCUCAAAGAUGGGACUCUCUUGCAUCAGCUUUCCAGAGUGCUGGGAUUACACGUGUGCGCCACGGAAUCUGGCUACCGAGCACUUAUUGUAUUUUCAAAUUCUUUACAUUUCUCCUAUUUUGAGAUAUAUAAUACAUUAUUGUUAAUUAUAUUCACCC